ACACAGAUGGGUCUCCUCAUUGAAAUGGUCAUGUAGCAUGUUAGUUAUUAAUUUUUACUCAUCACAAACAUUUAAUUGUCUAGAUUGCUGCAUAAAAUUGAAGUGACAAUAUUUUCUAGGAAGUAGCUCAAGGGAGCGAACAAGACAAGGAGAAAUGAAGCCAAAUCGGGAAGGAGAAGUUAAGUAAUAAGUUACUUAAAAUGUGACCUUAACCUCAUAAUUCCUAAUCACUACUAGAUUCAUGAUAUCAUUGUAGUAGAUAACAUCUAUUUGUAUUAAUGUACAAGGAGAGUGUGCUUCAUGGCAAUCCUUUGGCAUUCAAUACCAUCAUCUCUCGCGGUAGUUGAGAACCUUUUUUAUUUAGAAAUCAAACAAACAAUACACUAUCAUCUCUCGUGCUAUGUGAACACAAUAAUGUAGGUUUGCUAAGAUAUGGCAAGCAAAGAUGAUGGACUUUUGAACCGACGACAAUGCUAGGGCAACGGCAGAUGAAAAUAAUGGGGUAGGAGGGCCUGGGAGUAAUACAAUGCUUUUUCUUCUUGCAAGGAUAGGACGGUUAUCGAUAUACAACGAUUACUAAGGAGGAAAGAAGCGGAAGAGAUAGUCGGUAUUUUCACUAUAUGGAUGGAAAAACAUGUGGUUCAGACACAUUUCUAAAUUAUCACUUGUUUGAUUAUUCUUUUUAAUAAUUUUUGUUGUUGUCCCGUGGCAAUGCACAGACAUUAAGCUAGUAAAGGAUAACAGACGACACACUUUGCACUUAUUUCAAGUUUAUGGUUCAUAUUUUUUGCACUUCCACAUGAACCUGCACAGCCUUUUAACUUCAUAGUUAUGUAAAUGUAAUAAGCUAUCGAGUCUUUGUUUCAAGUUUAUAUUGCUAUUUGCAGUAUAUUGUUCAUUAUUGUUGUCUGAUUUCAUUUUUUAUUGCUAUAGGUGAAGAUUGGAUGAGUGAAUC
rnacentral:lncRNA from 1 species